rnacentral:rRNA from 1 species
GAUGAACGCUGGCGGCGUGCCUAAUACAUGCAAGUCGAGCGAACAGACGAGGAGCUUGCUCCUCUGACGUUAGCGGCGGACGGGUGAGUAACACGUGGAUAACCCACCUAUAAGACUGGGAUAACUUCGGGAAACCGGAGCUAAUACCGGAUAAUAUAUUGAACCGCAUGGUUCAAUAGUGAAAGACGGUUUUGCUGUCACUUAUAGAUGGAUCCGCGCCGCAUUAGCUAGUUGGUAAGGUAACGGCUUACCAAGGCAACGAUGCGUAGCCGACCUGAGAGGGUGAUCGGCCACACUGGAACUGAGACACGGUCCAGACUCCUACGGGAGGCAGCAGUAGGGAAUCUUCCGCAAUGGGCGAAAGCCUGACGGAGCAACGCCGCGUGAGUGAUGAAGGUCUUCGGAUCGUAAAGCUCUGUUAUUAGGGAAGAACAAAUGUGUAAGUAACUAUGCACGUCUUGACGGUACCGAAUCAGAAAGCCACGGCUAACUACGUG